UUAAGCGACUAAGCGUACACGGUGGAUGCCCUGGCAGUCAGAGGCGAUGAAGGACGUGCUAAUCUGCGAUAAGCGUCGGUAAGGUGAUAUGAACCGUUAUAACCGGCGAUUUCCGAAUGGGGAAACCCAGUGUGNCACAUAUUGUGAGCUCGAUGAGUAGGGCGGGACACGUGGUAUCCUGUCUGAAUAUGGGGGGACCAUCCUCCAAGGCUAAAUACUCCUGACUGACCGAUAGUGAACCAGUACCGUGAGGGAAAGGCGAAAAGAACCCCGGCGAGGGGAGUGAAAAAGAACCUGAAACCGUGUACGUACAAGCAGUGGGAGCACGCUUAGGCGUGUGACUGCGUACCUUUUGUAUAAUGGGUCAGCGACUUAUAUUCUGUAGCAAGGUUAACCGAAUAGGGGAGCCGAAGGGAAACCGAGUCUUAACUGGGCGUUAAGUUGCAGGGUAUAGACCCGAAACCCGGUGAUCUAGCCAUGGGCAGGUUGAAGGUUGGGUAACACUAACUGGAGGACCGAACCGACUAAUGUUGAAAAAUUAGCGGAUGACUUGUGGCUGGGGGUGAAAGGCCAAUCAAACCGGGAGAUAGCUGGUUCUCCCCGAAAGCUAUUUAGGUAGCGCCUCGUGAAUUCAUCUCCGGGGGUAGAGCACUGUUUCGGCAAGGGGGUCAUCCCGACUUACCAACCCGAUGCAAACUGCGAAUACCGGAGAAUGUUAUCACGGGAGACACACGGCGGGUGCUAACGUCCGUCGUGAAGAGGGAAACAACCCAGACCGCCAGCUAAGGUCCCAAAGUCAUGGUUAAGUGGGAAACGAUGUGGGAAGGCCCAGACAGCCAGGAUGUUGGCUUAGAAGCAGCCAUCAUUUAAAGAAAGCGUAAUAGCUCACUGGUCGAGUCGGCCUGCGCGGAAGAUGUAACGGGGCUAAACCAUGCACCGAAGCUGCGGCAGCGACGCUUAUGCGUUGUUGGGUAGGGGAGCGUUCUGUAAGCCUGCGAAGGUGUGCUGUGAGGCAUGCUGGAGGUAUCAGAAGUGCGAAUGCUGACAUAAGUAACGAUAAAGCGGGUGAAAAGCCCGCUCGCCGGAAGACCAAGGGUUCCUGUCCAACGUUAAUCGGGGCAGGGUGAGUCGACCCCUAAGGCGAGGCCGAAAGGCGUAGUCGAUGGGAAACAGGUUAAUAUUCCUGUACUUGGUGUUACUGCGAAGGGGGGACGGAGAAGGCUAUGUUGGCCGGGCGACGGUUGUCCCGGUUUAAGCGUGUAGGCUGGUUUUCCAGGCAAAUCCGGAAAAUCAAGGCUGAGGCGUGAUGACGAGGCACUACGGUGCUGAAGCAACAAAUGCCCUGCUUCCAGGAAAAGCCUCUAAGCAUCAGGUAACAUCAAAUCGUACCCCAAACCGACACAGGUGGUCAGGUAGAGAAUACCAAGGCGCUUGAGAGAACUCGGGUGAAGGAACUAGGCAAAAUGGUGCCGUAACUUCGGGAGAAGGCACGCUGAUAUGUAGGUGAAGUCCCUUGCGGAUGGAGCUGAAAUCAGUCGAAGAUACCAGCUGGCUGCAACUGUUUAUUAAAAACACAGCACUGUGCAAACACGAAAGUGGACGUAUACGGUGUGACGCCUGCCCGGUGCCGGAAGGUUAAUUGAUGGGGUCAGCGCAAGCGAAGCUCUUGAUCGAAGCCCCGGUAAACGGCGGCCGUAACUAUAACGGUCCUAAGGUAGCGAAAUUCCUUGUCGGGUAAGUUCCGACCUGCACGAAUGGCGUAAUGAUGGCCAGGCUGUCUCCACCCGAGACUCAGUGAAAUUGAACUCGCUGUGAAGAUGCAGUGUACCCGCGGCAAGACGGAAAGACCCCGUGAACCUUUACUAUAGCUUGACACUGAACAUUGAGCCUUGAUGUGUAGGAUAGGUGGGAGGCUUUGAAGUGUGGACGCCAGUCUGCAUGGAGCCGGCCUUGAAAUACCACCCUUUAAUGUUUGAUGUUCUAACGUGGACCCGUGAUCCGGGUUGCGGACAGUGUCUGGUGGGUAGUUUGACUGGGGCGGUCUCCUCCUAAAGAGUAACGGAGGAGCACGAAGGUUGGCUAAUCCUGGUCGGACAUCAGGAGGUUAGUGCAAUGGCAUAAGCCAGCUUGACUGCGAGCGUGACGGCGCGAGCAGGUGCGAAAGCAGGUCAUAGUGAUCCGGUGGUUCUGAAUGGAAGGGCCAUCGCUCAACGGAUAAAAGGUACUCCGGGGAUAACAGGCUGAUACCGCCCAAGAGUUCAUAUCGACGGCGGUGUUUGGCACCUCGAUGUCGGCUCAUCACAUCCUGGGGCUGAAGUAGGUCCCAAGGGUAUGGCUGUUCGCCAUUUAAAGUGGUACGCGAGCUGGGUUUAGAACGUCGUGAGACAGUUCGGUCCCUAUCUGCCGUGGGCGCUGGAGAACUGAGGGGGGCUGCUCCUAGUACGAGAGGACCGGAGUGGACGCAUCACUGGUGUUCGGGUUGUCAUGCCAAUGGCACUGCCCGGUAGCUAAAUGCGGAAGAGAUAAGUGCUGAAAGCAUCUAAGCACGAAACUUGCCCCGAGAUGAGUUCUCCCUGACCCUUUAAGGGUCCUGAAGGAACGUUGAAGACGACGACGUUGAUAGGCCGGGUGUGUAAGCGCAGCGAUGCGUUGAGCUAACCGGUACUAAUGAACCGUGAGGCUUAACCUU
rnacentral:rRNA from 1 species